rnacentral:misc_RNA from 1 species
AAGUCGUAACAAGGUUUCCGUAGGUGAACCUGCGGAAGGAUCAUCAACAAAUCCAAAAACCUUUUCUGGUUUAAAACACCGUGUGAACUGUACUCAUGAAUGUGGUCUCUCUUCAUUCCUUUGCGGAUGAGUUGGGUUGUACCCCUCGGUUCGGGACGAAUCCAAUCCUGAAAGGUUACUGUUUCUUCGGGAGACAGGCUACUUUCCGCGGAGGGGCCAUGUUCGCGUUUUUAUUUCUACCCCUUGAUUUCCUAUUGGACUGAUUGUUUUUGUUAUAAUUUUGCUCUCUUUUACGAGGGAGUGGAAUUUUAAAUUUAAUCACAAAACAACUUUUAACAAUGGAUCUCUUGGUUCUC